rnacentral:rRNA from 1 species
AUGGGGGCAGUCUUGCGAGACGACAAAGGUAGGUUUAUUGCAGAAGGAAAUGGAAAGAUCAACCAUUGCGCGGAUGUUCUGAUGACAGAAGCAUUAGCUCUCAAAUUUGGACUAACAUUAGCGCAAAGGGCGGGGUGCAAGCAAUUAAUCAUCAACUCAAAUAAUCUGGAUGUAAUUGAGACCAUGCAGGACGGAGGACAAUCAACGGGUGCGGCGGCGGCAAUUUUCGAUGACUGCUUUCACUAUGUAUGUGAUUUUAUCAUGACUACAUUCGAACAUUGUAAUAGAAAGACAAAUAAAGUAGCACAUGAACUUGCUAGAUUAGCUAGAUUUUCUUCAACUUUGGAUUGGUUUGAGGAGCCUCUAAAUGAAAUUGUAAUGAUCCUCACAAACGAUGUACUGAUUAUUUCUAAUGAAUAA